UAGAGUUUUGAUCCUGGCUCAGGAUGAACGCUGGCGGCGUGCCUAAUACAUGCAAGUCGAGCGAACAGAUAAGGAGCUUGCUCCUUUGACGUUAGCGGCGGACGGGUGAGUAACACGUGGAUAACCUACCUAUAAGACUGGGAUAACUUCGGGAAACCGGAGCUAAUACCGGAUAAGAUUUUGAACCGCAUGGUUCAAUAGUGAAAGACGGCCUUGCUGUCACUUAUAGAUGGAUCCGCGCCGUAUUAGCUAGUUGGUAAGGUAACGGCUUACCAAGGCAACGAUACGUAGCCGACCUGAGAGGGUGAUCGGCCACACUGGAACUGAGACACGGUCCAGACUCCUACGGGAGGCAGCAGUAGGAGAAUCUUCCUGCAAUGGGCGAAAGCCUGACGGAGCAACGCCGCGUGAGUGAUGAAGGUCUUCGGAUCGUAAAUACUCUGUUAUCAGGGAAGAACAAACGUGUAAGUAACUGUGCACGUGCUUGUACGGUACCUGNUCAGAAAGCCACGGCUAANAACGU
rnacentral:rRNA from 1 species